GUGGGGAAUAUUGGACAAUGGGCGAAAGCCUGAUCCAGCCAUGCCGCGUGUGUGAAGAAGGUCUUCGGAUUGUAAAGCACUUUAAGUUGGGAGGAAGGGCAGUAAGUUAAUACCUUGCUGUUUUGACGUUACCGACAGAAUAAGCACCGGCUAACUUCGUGCCAGCAGCCGCGGUAAUACGAAGGGUGCAAGCGUUAAUCGGAAUUACUGGGCGUAAAGCGCGCGUAGGUGGUUUUGUAAGUUGGAGGUGAAAUCCCCGGGCUCAACCUGGGAACUGCCUCCAAAACUGCAUGACUAGAGUACGGUAGAGGGUAGUGGAAUUUCCUGUGUAGCGGUGAAAUGCGUAGAUAUAGGAAGGAACACCAGUGGCGAAGGCGACUACCUGGACUGAUUCUGACACUGAGGUGCGAAAGCGUGGGGAGCAAACAGGAUUAGAAACCCGAGUGUCC
rnacentral:rRNA from 1 species